rnacentral:rRNA from 1 species
GACGAACGCUGGCGGCGUGCUUAACACAUGCAAGUCGAACGGAAAGGCCCUGCUUUUGUGGGGUGCUCGAGUGGCGAACGGGUGAGUAACACGUGAGUAACCUGCCCUUGACUUUGGGAUAACUUCAGGAAACUGGAGCUAAUACCGGAUAGGAGCUCCUGCUGCAUGGUGGGGGUUGGAAAGUUUCGGCGGUUGGGGAUGGACUCGCGGCUUAUCAGCUUGUUGGUGGGGUAGUGGCUUACCAAGGCUUUGACGGGUAGCCGGCCUGAGAGGGUGACCGGCCACAUUGGGACUGAGAUACGGCCCAGACUCCUACGGGAGGCAGCAGUGGGGAAUAUUGCACAAUGGGCGGAAGCCUGAUGCAGCAACGCCGCGUGCGGGAUGACGGCCUUCGGGUUGUAAACCGCUUUCGCCUGUGACGAAGCGUGAGUGACGGUAAUGGGUAAAGAAGCACCGGCUAACUACGU